CCCUAGCCCAGAUUGCAGUGAAAAUCCUUUUUUGAAAAAAAAAGAUUGUAACGGAAAGCUGGAAAUAGC
rfam:Chryseobacterium sp. IHB B 10212 strain IHBB 10212, complete genome.